AACGAACGCUGGCGGCAUGCCUAACACAUGCAAGUCGAACGAGACCUUCGGGUCUAGUGGCGCACGGGUGCGUAACGCGUGGGAACCUGCCUUUAGGUUCGGAAUAAUUCAGAGAAAUUUGAGCUAAUACCGGAUGAUGUCUUCGGACCAAAGAUUUAUCGCCUUUAGAUGGGCCCGCGUUGGAUUAGCUAGUUGGUGGGGUAAAGGCCUACCAAGGCGACGAUCCAUAGCUGGUCUGAGAGGAUGAUCAGCCACACUGGGACUGAGACACGGCCCAGACUCCUACGGGAGGCAGCAGUGGGGAAUAUUGGGCAAUGGGCGAAAGCCUGAUCCAGCAAUGCCGCGUGAGUGAUGAAGGCCUUAGGGUUGUAAAGCUCUUUUACCCGAGAUGAUAAUGACAGUAUCGGGAGAAUAAGCUCCGGCUAACUCCGUG
rnacentral:rRNA from 1 species